CUACCAUAUAUUGGGGCGCUGGGGUCAAUGAAUUCUUAGUUUCCUGUUGUGUCAUGAACAUCCCUCUUUCUUGCAGCUGACAGUGUUGCAAGCCAAGGUCCACUAUCUCAAGUACCUCAGAGACUUGAGACUUUACGGUGGACGGGUCUUCAAAUCCAUCUGAGUUGCAAGUGUCUGUUCCAAACCCUUGGUUUGAAGUCAACGUUUAGAGCCUGACUAAACAAUAUCGAAACCAAACACUGAGAUGCAUUGAGCCUGACCCUUCCGUAUUUACAGCAAGGCGAGAAGCACACGGAGGUGACCCUUCUGAUAGGACAGCGCUACUGCAUCAGCCAUGACAUCAACCCCAAGACCAACCUGGUGGCUCUGCUGGCUGACAUCAGCCACGUCAACCGCAUCGAAAUGUACUCAGAGGACGAGAAGACGGUGCGGGUGGAGCUCCAUAUUCUGGUCGUGACGGUGAAAGGAUCCUUUAGUGUCCGGUCCGGCUAGACCGGCGCCUCUGCUGGGGUUAGGGGUUAGAUUCCCUACUCAGUGGAAGAAUUUGUUCACUCAUGUAGCCAAUAACUCUGUUAAUGGAGUCUGUUGAUGCCAUAAUUCUGGCCUGUCUGACCGCCGGCUAUUACCGCUUACUGGUGGACUCCAGGCGCUCCAUCUUCAAAGUGGCCCAGAGCAGCGCCGAGAAUGCGGAAGCGAGUCACAAGGCGAGAGUGAAGCAGAACUACCGGGUGAUAGAGUGGACCUACAGCACGCCUUACAAGGCAACAGAGGACCGCGGCUGCAGUCAGCGAUGUGGCCAGGACUUCUCGGAAUACCUGGAGAGCUCGAACCUGCAUGGAGAGAGGUGAUGAAUUAAGUCUACGCUGACUUGUGAAUCGAGGCUAGCUUGUGUGUAACUAGAGAUGCUCAACAAGACACAAAGCUUCCACACGCUCUGCUGUCUGACGCAGGCUUGCAUGUCGCUGGUGGAAGGCCUGAGUGCCGAGCGGCAGCGGCGUGAGGUGGUGGCCCGGCUGGACGAGGUCGUCAUGAACUACGUGUGUCUGCUGAAGGCUGCCGAGGCGGCGUCAGGAAGCAACUGCAAUGACCAAAGUGUGAACACACUGACGCGUCACUCUGCCGCCAUGUCCGUCGUCAUCCGUCAUCCACAACGCACUCGUUGAGAACACUGAUACACAAAGACACGGCCGCUCUGUCUCUGCUCUGCUCCGAGUUUUGAGUUAAAGCCAGACAUGCCAUUGGUUGAAGCCGCCAAUUUGAACUGCGUCGAUAAACGUUGCCUUGUGUUUACAAUUCUUAAUUAAGUAAAACAACUCUGUUGAUCAUUUUUAAACAUUUAAACAAUUAUACAAAGACGUCUAUAAGAAUAUAAGUUAAACAUGGCAUAUAGUACCCGACACCAAUGCUAGAGGGGAUUAUUUUAUCAAUGACCUUUUGGGGCUUUCCAUGUGGACAGUGAAAUAUUUUAAGGUGUUCUUUAAUUCAAAAAGCAUUCAUCAAUUAUAAAAAUGUCGAGAGCUCUAGAGGCAAAUCAUUGCAAACAAUAUGUUUAAAAGUGUGAUGUUGUUGACUUUUCUGUAGAUUUCAUGAAUACUUUGCCCAUUAUCACUGAGUACUUUCCCUUUUUUAUCAGCACCCUCGUUAAUCAUUUAAACUACGAAAUUACAAGAGAAUCUUUCUUUGUUUGUCAAUUUAGUUAUUAUGUUACCUUUGAUGAAAAAAACGUGUUAAAAUAAAAAUUGCCUAAUAUCAUAUCCUUAUUAGGCUUAGUACUUAACAUAAACUUUCUUACGAGAAAUGUGGGAGGAUUCUAAGAUCCUAUGAUCUAUGGACCCUAAAAGGGAAGCAAAAAAAAGCUGCUUUCUGCAAUUUUUGGAAGGCUAUAUUUUGACGAAGCUGCUGCAGUUUGAUUUAGUGUGUUCUCCCACAAGAGAAUACAGUUAUUAUCCAGUGCUAUUGAAUUGACCUUUAACAAGGGUUUACUAUUUACAUAAUAUCUUUCGGGUCCAGCACAUGCACAAUGGUGAGUUAUUUAAUCACUCAAUUAUAAAAUUACUGCUCAUAUGCAAUCACUAAAAAUAUAUUUUUGUGAUUCUCCAUUUUUCAUAUUUUCAUAUGUGUAAUCUAUUAAACGUCUCAUUCAACUUAAUUAAUUUCUUUCAAAAUACAAUAACAUGUAACCAUGAAUUAAAAUUACACUUCAUAGCUUGGGGAAUAUUUCUCAUUCUUUUUUUAUUGUAUUUUUGAUAGUUAUAAUGUAGUCAUAAUUGUAUUAAAUUGUGCUCUUUAUAAUCAAGACAAAGGCAUCCCUAAUUCUCUUCAAAUUUUCCUAUUUUCCAAAUUCACCAUAUUACGUGCGUGCGUGCGUAACUCGUAUAAUAUUUUUCUGAAAAUGAUGAUACAUUCCUUCAAUUUAAUAAUUAUUCUGCUUUACG